AAGGUCUUAGGUUAAAAAAACUGUAAGCCUUCAAAGCUUUUGAUAGAGAGGGACUCUUUAGGCCUUG
rnacentral:tRNA from 2 species